rnacentral:rRNA from 1 species
UACAGAGGGUGCGAGCGUUGUCCGGAAUCACUGGGCGUAAAGGGCUCGUAGGCGGUUUGUCGCGUCGGGAGUGAAAUCCACUGGCUUAACUGGUGGCUUGCUUUCGAUACGGGCAGACUGGAGGUAUGCAGGGGAGAACGGAAUUCCUGGUGUAGCGGUGAAAUGCGCAGAUAUCAGGAGGAACACCGGUGGCGAAGGCGGUUCUCUGGGCAUGUCCUGACGCUGAGGAGCGAAAGUGUGGGGAGCGAACAGG